UACGUAGGGGGCUAGCGUUGUCCGGAAUCAUUGGGCGUAAAGAGCGUGUAGGCGGCUCGGUAAGUCCGCUGUGAAAGUCCAGGGCUCAACCCUGGAAUGCCAGUGGAAACUGUCGAGCUAGAGUCCGGAAGAGGCGAGUGGAAUUCCUGGUGUAGCGGUGAAAUGCGCAGAUAUCAGGAGGAACACCAAUGGCGAAGGCAGCUCUCUGGGACGGUACUGACGCUGAGACGCGAAAGCGUGGGGAGCGAACAGG
rnacentral:rRNA from 1 species